rnacentral:rRNA from 1 species
ACCUAUUCAACGGCCGCGGUACCCUAACCGUGCGAAGGUAGCAUAAUCACUUGUUUCUUAAAUAGGGACUAGUAUCAACGGCAUCACGAAGACUACACUGUCUCCCCCCUAAAAUCAAUGAAACUGAUCUUCUCGUGAAGAAGCGAGAAUACAAAUAUAAGACGAGAAGACCCCAUGGAGCUUUAAAUGAACCUCAACGCUAUCCUAUAUCAUAGAAACUGAGCGCUAAUGAUGUGUAAUUUUCGGUUGGGGUGACCGCGGAAUAAAACAAAACCUCCGCAAUGAAUGUAACAAAACACUAAUAAAAGAACCACAAUUCUAAUAAUCAAUAAAUUGACAUAAUUGAUCCAAACACCUGAUCAAUGAACCAAGUUACCCUGGGGAUAACAGCGCAAUCCAUUUAAAGAGCCCCUAUCAACAAAUGGGUUUACGACCUCGAUGUUGGAUCAGGGUAUCCCAGUGGUGCAGCCGCUACUAAUGGUUCGUUUGUUCAACGAUUAAAACCCUACGUGAUCUGA